rnacentral:rRNA from 1 species
GUCUACGGCCAUGCCACCCUGAACAAGCCCGAUCCCAUCUGAUCUCAGAAGCUAAGCAGGGUCGGGUUUGGUUAGUACUUGGAUGGGAGACCACCUAGGAAGACCAGGUGCUGUAGGCA